AGUGAACGCUGGCGGCAUGCCUUACACAUGCCAGUCGAACGGCAGCACGGUUGCUUGUACCUGGUAGCGAGUGGCGGACGGGUGAGGAAUACAUCGACACCUGUCCCUACGUGUGGGAUAGCGCGGAGAAAGCCGGAUUAAUGCCGAAAACGCACUCCGCCUGCAAGCGAAGGACCUUCGGGCUCCGAGCUAUCGGGUUUGACGAUGGCGGAGUAGGUAGUUGGGGGGGUAAAGGCCUAGCCAGGCGACGGUCAGUAGCCGGUCCGAGACGGAGAGCAGGCACACUGGGACUGAGACACGGCCCAGACUCCUACGGGAGGCAGCAGUGGGGAAUUUUGGACAAUGGGCGAAAGGCUGAUCCAGGAAUGCCGCGGGUGUUAAGAAGGCCUUCGGGUUGUAAAGCACUUUUGGCCGGAAAGAAAUCCCUGGCCCUAAUACGGUCGGUGGAUUACGGUACCGGAAGAAUAAGCACCGGCUAACUACGUU
rnacentral:rRNA from 1 species